rnacentral:rRNA from 1 species
GGUAGCAUUGGUGCUUGCACCAGAUGACGACCGGCGCACGGGUGCGUAACGCGUAUAGAACUUACCUUUUACAGGGAGAUAGCCUUUAGAAAUGAAGAUUAAUAUCCCAUAGUAUUGAGACUUGGCAUCAAGACUUAAUUAAAGAUUUAUCGGUAAAAGAUGGCUAUGCGUCCUAUUAGCUAGAUGGUAAGGUAACGGCUUACCAUGGCAACGAUAGGUAGGGGCCCUGAGAGGGGGAUCCCCCACACUGGUACUGAGACACGGACCAGACUCCUACGGGAGGCAGCAGUGAGGAAUAUUGGGCAAUGGAGGCAACUCUGACCCAGCCAUGCCGCGUGCAGGAAGACUGCCCUAUGGGUUGUAAACUGCUUUUAUACAGGAAGAAACACACCUACGUGUAGGUGCUUGACGGUACUGUAAGAAUAAGGACCGGCUAACUCCGUGCCAGCAGCCGCGGUAAUACGGAGGGUCCAAGCGUUAUCCGGAAUCAUUGGGUUUAAAGGGUCCGCAGGCGGUCAAUUAAGUCAGAGGUGAAAUCCCAUAGCUUAACUAUGGAACUGCCUUUGAUACUGGUUGACUUGAGUCAUAUGGAAGUAGAUAGAAUGUGUAGUGUAGCGGUGAAAUGCAUAGAUAUUACACAGAAUACCGAUUGCGAAGGCAGUCUA